UACGUAGGGUGCGAGCGUUGUCCGGAAUUAUUGGGCGUAAAGAGUGUGUAGGCGGUGCUCCAAGUCUGGUGUGAAAUCUCCCGGCUUAACUGGGAGGGUGCAUUAGAAACUGGAAUGCUAGAGGAUGGGAGAGGUAAGCGGAAUUCCUGGUGUAGCGGUGAAAUGCGUAGAUAUCAGGAGGAACACCUGUGGUGUAGACAGCUUACUGGACCAUUUCUGACGCUGAGACACGAAAGCGUGGGUAGCAAACAGG
rnacentral:rRNA from 1 species